AGACUAAUGGUCAGUCAAAAGCAAACUGCCAUAUAUAUUUAAGUUAUCAAAGCCUCUCUCCCUGGUAAACUAGCUAGACAGGCAUAGGAAUAUUUAGAAGGUAGGGGCCCCUGACAAGGUGCACUCUCUAAGCACCGAAACGCGCGUUGGGCGUUUUGCCAAUUUCUACACUGGGCACUGAAUGGCACUUUAGCACUAUGAAUUGCACUUAAUAUCUUUUUCUUGCUCUACCUUCUAAAUAUUCCUAUGCCUGUCUAGCUAGUUUACCAGGGAGAGAGGCUUUGAUAACUUAAAUAUAUAUGGCAGUUUGCUUUUGACUGACCAUUAGUCUCU